AGUGUAGAGGAGGUAGGGUAGCCUAGUGGUUAGAGUGUAGAGGGGGCAGGGUAGCCUAGUGGUUAGAGUGUAGAGGUGGCAGGGUAGCCUAGUGGUUAGAGUGUAGAGGAGGCAGGGUAGCCUAGUGGUUAGAGUGUAGAGGUGGCAGGGUAGCCUAGUGGUUAGAGUGGAGAGGUGGCAGGGUAGCCUAGUGGUUAGAGUGUAGAGGUGGCAGGGUAGCCUAGUGGUUAGAGUGUAGAGGUGGCAGGGUAACCUAGUGGUUAGAGUGUAGAGGCGGCAGGGUAACCUAGUGGUUAGAGUGUAGAGGCGGCAGGGUAGCCUAGUGGUUAGAGUGUAGAGGUGGCAGGGUAGCCUAGUGGUUAGAGUGUAGAGGUGGCAGGGUAGCCUAGUGGUUAGAGUGUAGAGGCGGCAGGGUAGCCUAGUGGUUAGAGUGUAGAGGUGGCAGGGUAGCCUAGUGGUUAGAGUGUAGAGGCGGCAGGGUAGCCUAGUGGUUAGAGUGUAGAGGCGGCAGGGUAGCCUAGUGGUUAGAGUGUAGAGGCGGCAGGGUAGCCUAGUGGUUAGAGUGUAGAGGCGGCAGGGUAGCCUAGUGGUUAGAGUGUAGAGGCGGCAGGGUAGCCUAGUGGUUAGAGUGUAGAGGUGGCAGGGUAGCCUAGUGGUUAGAGUGUAGAGGUGGCAGGGUAGCCUAGUGGUUAGAGCAUUGGACUAGUAACCAAAACGUUGCAAGUUCAAAUCCCCGAGCUGACAAAGGUACAA